UUUGGUCAAGAUAUUAAGGGCACAUGGUGGAUGCCUAGGCACGGUAGAGCGACGAAGGACGUGUCAAGCUGCGAUAAGCCACGGGGAGGUGCAAGUAACCCUGGAUCCGUGGAUUUCCGAAUGGGGCAACCCGGCGCUGGUAAUGCGGCGUCAUCCCUUUAAGGGAGGCCAACCCAGGGAAGUGAAACAUCUAAGUACCUGGAGGAAAAGAAAGAGGAAUCGAUUCCCCUAGUAGCGGCGAGCGAAGAGGGAAGAGCCUAAACCCGUUAGCAUGUAUGAAGGCCGUAACCGUUGUGCUGCGGGGGUAGUGGGGCCCUAACGGAGUGCGUUACGGAGCACUCGGAGAGUUACAAAACUUAUGUAUAGUCGAAUCGUUCUGGAAAGUCGAGCCAAAGUGGGUGAAAGCCCCGUAGACGAAAUACAUAGGUCUCUCUGGUUAGGGUACCCGAGUACCGCGGGGCACGUGAAACCCUGUGGGAAUCUAUGCCGACCACGGCAUAAGGCUAAAUAUGCUACCGUGACCGAUAGUGAACCAGUACCGUGAGGGAAAGGUGAAAAGCACCCCGGGAGGGGAGUGAAAUAGUACCUGAAACCGUGUGCCUACAACCAGUCGGAGCUCCGGCUUGCCGGAGUGACGGCGUGCCUUUUGCAUAAUGAGCCAGCGAGUUGUGGUAAGUAGCGCAGGUUAAGCUCUUCAGGAGCGGAGCCGUAGCGAAAGCGAGUCUGAAUAGGGCGCCAUAGUUACUUGCUGCAGACGCGAAGCCGGGUGAUCUACCCAUGGCCAGGAUGAAACCUCGGUAAGACGAGGUGGAGGUCCGAACCCACUGGUGUUGAAAAACCAGGGGAUGAGCUGUGGGUAGGGGUGAAAGGCCAA
rnacentral:rRNA from 1 species